AUGGAAGAGCACUUUUUCGUUCCUCUCGCUUAGCUCUACGCCCCUAUGGAGUUGUUCGUUUCGAGGUACCAAACUCCUUCGCUGUUUUCGUUACACCCCAGCAAUCAGGAGCUGUAGUUAAGAUCAUUAAACGAAGGAGAUCUGUGGGCGACAAACUUGAGAAGCGAUUUUUCAACCCGGUGAGCAUUUCUUCCAGCUCUUCUUCUCUUGAUAAAUGAGGUAUUUUCAUUGAAGAAGGGCCAUCUUCAUCUCCAGAAUUCAAAAAAUUGCUUUCGGCUUCCUCAGACAAGUCAGAUUCAUUGUGUUUGGCUGAAAUCGAACGGAUUGCAGCAUCUAUCUGCCCGAGUUUUUGACGCCAAAGAUGACAUUUUUAUCAGAGUUCGCAAAAUAUAAAAAAUUAGGAUUUCAGAAUAAAUUUUGACUGUGUCGUAUCAGGUGCGCUAAAUGCAGGUGUGAAAAUGCCUGACGAAAAAGAAAGUGAUUUUAUAAAGCAAUUGUUUGCCCAACAGCAAAAAACAACAAUAAAAAAA